rnacentral:tRNA from 1 species
GCCCUAAUAGCUCAGUGGUAGAGCAACCGCCUUGUAAGCGGUAGGUCGUUGGUUCAAAUCCGACUUGGGGCU